AGAAUGAGUGAUGGUUCAAG
rnacentral:snRNA from 1 species